UUCGAUGAUACGCGAGGAACUUACCUGGGCUCGAACGUAAGAUGACUGUAGGUGAAAGCUUACAUCUCUUCGGAGCAUUUUACGAGGUGCUGCAUGGUUGUCGUCAGCUCGUGCCGUGAGGUGUCGGGUUAAGUCCCAUAACGAGCGCAACCCCUACCUUUAGUUGCCAUCAGGUAAUGCUGGGGACUCUAAAGGAACUGCCUACGCAAGUAGUGAGGAAGGCGGGGAUGACGUCAAAUCAGCACGGCCCUUAUGUCCAGGGCGACACACGUGCUACAAUGGCCGGCACAGCGGGAAGCGGAGGGGCGACCCUGAGCGGAUCCCUUGAAAGCCGGUCCCAGUUCGGAUUGCAGUCUGCAACUCGACUGCAUGAAGUUGGAAUCGCUAGUAAUCGCGGAUCAGCCAAGCCGCGGUGAAUACGUUCCCGGGCCUU
rnacentral:rRNA from 1 species